UGGGGAAUUUUGGACAAUGGGGGAAACCCUGAUCCAGCCAUUCCGCGUGAGUGAAGAAGGCCUUCGGGUUGUAAAGCUCUUUUGUCCGGAACGAAACGGUGGACGUGAGUAUCGUCCAUUACUGACGGUACCGGAAGAAUAAGCACCGGCUAACUACGUGCCAGCAGCCGCGGUAAUACGUAGGGUGCGAGCGUUAAUCGGAAUUACUGGGCGUAAAGCGUGCGCAGGCGGUUUUGUAAGCCAGAUGUGAAAUCCCCGGGCUUAACCUGGGAAUGGCAUUUGGGACUGCAAGGCUGGAGUUUGGCAGAGGAGACUGGAAUUCCUGGUGUAGCAGUGAAAUGCGUAGAUAUCAGGAGGAAUACCGAUGGCGAAGGCAGGUCUCUGGGCUAUAACUGACGCUCAUGCACGAAAGCGUGGGGAGCAAACAGGAUUAGAUACCCUGGUAGUCCACGCCCUAAACGAUGUCGACUGGUUGUUGGGGGUUUGACACUCUCAGUAACGAAGCUAACGCGUGAAGUCGACCGCCUGGGGAGUACGGCCGCAAGGUUAA
rnacentral:rRNA from 1 species